CGCUGUUUGCCGCCGGGUAAACAAUCAAGCAUUGAUCUUCCGUAUCGUUAGGCCAUAGAAGAUACGGAAGUCAAUGCUUUUGUUU
rnacentral:ncRNA from 1 species